rnacentral:rRNA from 1 species
CAGCGCCACGAGUGGCAAUCGUGUAUUUGGCCUAAAGCGUCCGUAGCCGGAUUUGUAAAUCUUUUGUGAAAUCGUUGAGCUCAACUUAACGGCGUGCAGAAGACACUGCGAGUCUUGAGACCGGGAGGAGAUAGAGGUAUUCUAGGGGGAGCGGUAAAAUGCUAUAAUCCCUGGAGGACCACCAGUGGCGAAGGCGUCUAUCCAGAACGGAUCUGACGGUGAGGGACGAAAGCUAGGGGAGCGAACCGGAUUAGAUACCCGAGUAGUCC